rnacentral:tRNA from 1 species
AGCUUUCGGGCCCAUACCCCGAACAUGUUGGUUAAACCCCUUCCUUUACUA